CUACGUGCCAGCAGCCGCGGUAAUACGGAAGGUCCUGGCGUUAUCCGGAUUUAUUGGGUUUAAAGGGAGCGCAGGCUGCACUUUAAGCGUGUUGUGAAAUGUACCGGCUCAACCGGUAACGUGCAGCGCGAACUGGGGUGCUUGAGUACGAAGAGGGAAGGCGGAACUCGUGGUGUAGCGGUGAAAUGCUUAGAUAUCACGAGGAACUCCGAUCGCGAAGGCAGCUUUCCGUUUCGGUACUGACGCUGAGGCUCGAAAGUGCGGGUAUCGAACAGGAUUAGAUACCCUGGUAGUCCGCACGGUAAACGAUGGAUGCUCGCUGUUGGAUAUUUUUAUUCAGUGGCUAAGUGAAAACGUUAAGCAUCCCACCUGGGGAGUACGCCGGCAACGGUGAAACUCAAAGGAAUUGACGGGGGCCCGCACAAGCGGAGGAACAUGUGGUUUAAUUCGACGCAACGCGAAGAACCUUACCAGGUCUUGACAU
rnacentral:rRNA from 1 species